CGGGGGGGGCAAGCGUUGUUCGGAAUUACUGGGCGUAAAGGGCGCGUAGGCGGCCUGCUAAGUCGGACGUGAAAUCCCUCGGCUCAACCGGGGAACUGCGUCCGAUACUGGUGGGCUCGAAUCCGGGAGAGGGAUGUGGAAUUCCAGGUGUAGCGGUGAAAUGCGUAGAUAUCUGGAGGAACACCGGUGGCGAAGGCGGCAUCCUGGACCGGCAUUGACGCUGAGGCGCGAAAGCCAGGGGAGCAAACGGGAUUAGAUACCCCGGUAGUCCUGGCCCUAAACGAUGAGUGCUUGGUGUGGCGGGUAUCGAUCCCUGCCGUGCCGAAGCUAACGCAUUAAGCACUCCGCCUGGGGAGUACGGUCGCAAGGCUG
rnacentral:rRNA from 1 species